CAGAUCAAGAGUGAGUCGAAGAAAUCAACUGAAAAACCAUAUGUUGGGCCAGAUUCUUUUUCAAAUACUGACAUUUCUUCUGGCAAUAAUUCUGGAACCAACACUUUAAUUGAGUACGAAAAUGACGAAUCCUUGGAAAUCAAGUAUGAAAUUGUCUAAGGUUUUUUUGUUUGUCUACUACUACCUACUGCGCAUGUCGAAUUAUCGUGGGUACCUUCUGAGCAGAAAUGUACUUCAAAAUGGUAUUUUAUUAUUAUUUUAUUACUGUUUACUUGCAGUAUUUAUUAUUGUAUUCGUUAUUUAAUUAAAACAUAUUUUUUAAUAUGAAAAUACCUCGAGUACCCACUG